CGGCGGACGGGUGAGUAAUGCCUAGGAAUCUGCCUGGUAGUGGGGGACAACGUUUCGAAAGGAACGCUAAUACCGCAUACGUCCUACGGGAGAAAGCAGGGGACCUUCGGGCCUGCGCUAUCAGAUGAGCCUAGGUCGGAUUAGCUAGUUGGUGAGGUAAUGGCUCACCAAGGCGACGAUCCGUAACUGGUCUGAGAGGAUGAUCAGUCACACUGGAACUGAGACACGGUCCAGACUCCUACGGGAGGCAGCAGC
rnacentral:rRNA from 1 species